rnacentral:rRNA from 1 species
UACAGAGGUCCCGAGCGUUGUUCGGAUUCACUGGGCGUAAAGGGUGCGCAGGUGGGUUGGCAAGUUUGAUGUGAAAGCCCCGGGCUUAACCCGGGAAUGGCAUUGAAUACUGCUGAUCUGGAGGAUCGGAGGGGGACUGGAAUUCUUGGGUGUAGCAGUGAAAUGCGUAGAUAUCAAGAGGAACACCAGUGGCGAAGGCGAGUCCCCCUGGACGAUACCUGACACUGAGGCACGAAAGCCAAGGGAGCAAA